UUCUCCUGGGAUUCUCCUGACUGCCUGUUGCCCUGGCAUUGCUGGAAAGCUCUAAACUACCUAAUACUCUGCUCUAAUCCUGUUCUGUGCAAACCAGCUUCAUUUUCUUCAGCAGCAGAAAGACCUUUGUGAGGAACAGGCAGAAGAAACUGAUUCAACUGAUUAAACACAGAAGAGAAUUGUCAUUUGGGUCCUUAUGGAGGAUGACAGGCCAGGCACACCUGCUCUAGCCUGGACUCUGGGACUGGAAGGACCAUUCAAAUCCCAGCCUGGCCACUUCCAAGCAGUGUGACCUUCAGCAGAUGGGAUGAACAGUGGUGCACGUUUCAUAGGAAUCUUGUGAUGAUUAAAAGCAGGUAAAAUGUGUAUUGCUGUCUGUGUGAACAGAAGCUCUCGAUAAGCCCAUCUGCUUUCGUUAUUCAUUGUCCAGUCUCGCCACUGGGAACUUCCAAGCUUUGUCCAGGGUAAUGUCACACUCCUGUCUCUCCCUUCUGGAAUCUGCUGGUGCUUAUUUGGGCUCUCCAAUCUCCCAGUAACACUUGCUAACACCUAAACAUAAAUCCGGGCACAGCCUAAAGCUCCCCAUUUGGCCUUUGAGGACUUUUCCUCCCCUACAUUCUAAGCAACUUUCUGUCAUUGAAGAACCUCCUCUCUUUGCCAAUCAAUUCCUCACUCCUGGUCUUCUCACUCCCUAUGUAGGCCAAAGUCUAGAUUGGAGAGGAAAUUUCCAUCAGGUUUAGAAAAUGUGAAAUGUGGUCAGCUUGGGGGAGGGAGGUGGGGAAGGAAGCAUGCCUAUUCCUUUAUUUUUUCCCCCAAAUAAACUCACGCCCUUGUAAAUUACUCCCUACCCUUGUGCAGUUUCUCAACCUUCUUUUAACUCCCUUUGAAAGAUGCAAGUAUCUCCCUCCACACCCCGCCGCCAGCUUAUUCAACAUUUCAACAUGAGUAGAACAAUCCAUGAUAGGAUUCGGCCAGGUGAGUGAGGGUAGAUGUGAUGGGCACCCCUUACAAGCCCCCAAAUGUCUCAUACAACCAUCCACACCCUUUCUUUCCGAGUUGGGCACUUGUAUAGAAAAGAUCUAAGGGAGAAUUUCAAGGAGGCCCUGGGGGCUGAUGGAGCUACAAGCUAGAAGGAGCCUGGAUCCCUGAGUUACUGCUUGGUGGAGACCGCCCAGGACAGCUGCCCAAUCCAGUGUGAGGUGAGGGAGUAAUGAAUCUUUGUUGGGUAAAAGCCACAGGUUUGGGAAUCCUAUGCUAUAGCUGCUAGUGUUCAUUAACCUUGUUAAUACAUUGUAGAAGUUCCUAGAACAUAAUAAGGGCUUAAAUGAAUGCCAGUUUUUAUUAAUAUUAUGUGGCCAAUCAGUCGAUAUUUAUUGACAGGUAUUAUCUUGUACAUUUCUCAUAACAUCUUAAGAGGUAGGUACCCAGGGCUUGCUCCCUCCCUCCUUUGGCCCUUUAUCUAUCUACAUUCUUCUCUCUGCCUGACCUGCUCCUUCCUCCCUUCCUCACGCAGUCAACCACUACUCAUUCUUCGCAUCACAGCUCAAAUGUGGUCUUACUCAUGAAAACCUUCCCUAACUCCUUAGACUUAGUCAGUGCCCCCAUUACAUGAUCUCAUAGACUCUAAAAAUUUUCCUACAGGUACUUAUCACAGUUUGUCAUUGCAUGACUAUUUAUAUAAUUCUUUGGUGACUGUCUCUCUUGCCCACCAUAGAGGAAGCACCAAGAGAGUA